UUAAGCGACUAAGCGUACACGGUGGAUGCCCUGGCAGUCAGAGGCGAUGAAGGACGUGCUAAUCUGCGAUAAGCGUCGGUAAGGUGAUAUGAACCGUUAUAACCGGCGAUUUCCGAAUGGGGAAACCCAGUGUGAUUCGUCACACUAUCAUUAACUGAAUCCAUAGGUUAAUGAGGCGAACCGGGGGAACUGAAACAUCUAAGUACCCCGAGGAAAAGAAAUCAACCGAGAUUCCCCCAGUAGCGGCGAGCGAACGGGGAGCAGCCCAGAGCCUGAAUCAGUGUGUGUGUUAGUGGAAGCGUCUGGAAAGGCGCGCGAUACAGGGUGACAGCCCCGUACACAAAAAUGCACAUGCUGUGAGCUCGAUGAGUAGGGCGGGACACGUGGUAUCCUGUCUGAAUAUGGGGGGACCAUCCUCCAAGGCUAAAUACUCCUGACUGACCGAUAGUGAACCAGUACCGUGAGGGAAAGGCGAAAAGAACCCCGGCGAGGGGAGUGAAAAAGAACCUGAAACCGUGUACGUACAAGCAGUGGGAGCACGCUUAGGCGUGUGACUGCGUACCUUUUGUAUAAUGGGUCAGCGACUUAUAUUCUGUAGCAAGGUUAACCGAAUAGGGGAGCCGAAGGGAAACCGAGUCUUAACUGGGCGUUAAGUUGCAGGGUAUAGACCCGAAACCCGGUGAUCUAGCCAUGGGCAGGUUGAAGGUUGGGUAACACUAACUGGAGGACCGAACCGACUAAUGUUGAAAAAUUAGCGGAUGACUUGUGGCUGGGGGUGAAAGGCCAAUCAAACCGGGAGAUAGCUGGUUCUCCCCGAAAGCUAUUUAGGUAGCGCCUCGUGAAUUCAUCUCCGGGGGUAGAGCACUGUUUCGGCAAGGGGGUCAUCCCGACUUACCAACCCGAUGCAAACUACGAAUACCGGAGAAUGUUAUCACGGGAGACACACGGCGGGUGCUAACGUCCGUCGUGAAGAGGGAAACAACCCAGACCGCCAGCUAAGGUCCCAAAGUCAUGGUUAAGUGGGAAACGAUGUGGGAAGGCCCAGACAGCCAGGAUGUUGGCUUAGAAGCAGCCAUCAUUUAAAGAAAGCGUAAUAGCUCACUGGUCGAGUCGGCCUGCGCGGAAGAUGUAACGGGGCUAAACCAUGCACCGAAGCUGCGGCAGCGACGCUGAUGCGUUGUUGGGUAGGGGAGCGUUCUGUAAGCCUGCGAAGGUGUGCUGUGAGGCAUGCUGGAGGUAUCAGAAGUGCGAAUGCUGACAUAAGUAACGAUAAAGCGGGUGAAAAGCCCGCUCGCCGGAAGACCAAGGGUUCCUGUCCAACGUUAAUCGGGGCAGGGUGAGUCGACCCCUAAGGCGAGGCCGAAAGGCGUAGUCGAUGGGAAACAGGUUAAUAUUCCUGUACUUGGUGUUACUGCGAAGGGGGGACGGAGAAGGCUAUGUUGGCCGGGCGACGGUUGUCCCGGUUUAAGCGUGUAGGCUGGUUUUCCAGGCAAAUCCGGAAAAUCAAGGCUGAGGCGUGAUGACGAGGCACUACGGUGCUGAAGCAACAAAUGCCCUGCUUCCAGGAAAAGCCUCUAAGCAUCAGGUAACAUCAAAUCGUACCCCAAACCGACACAGGUGGUCAGGUAGAGAAUACCAAGGCGCUUGAGAGAACUCGGGUGAAGGAACUAGGCAAAAUGGUGCCGUAACUUCGGGAGAAGGCACGCUGAUAUGUAGGUGAAGUCCCUCGCGGAUGGAGCUGAAAUCAGUCGAAGAUACCAGCUGGCUGCAACUGUUUAUUAAAAACACAGCACUGUGCAAACACGAAAGUGGACGUAUACGGUGUGACGCCUGCCCGGUGCCGGAAGGUUAAUUGAUGGGGUCAGCGCAAGCGAAGCUCUUGAUCGAAGCCCCGGUAAACGGCGGCCGUAACUAUAACGGUCCUAAGGUAGCGAAAUUCCUUGUCGGGUAAGUUCCGACCUGCACGAAUGGCGUAAUGAUGGCCAGGCUGUCUCCACCCGAGACUCAGUGAAAUUGAACUCGCUGUGAAGAUGCAGUGUACCCGCGGCAAGACGGAAAGACCCCGUGAACCUUUACUAUAGCUUGACACUGAACAUUGAGCCUUGAUGUGUAGGAUAGGUGGGAGGCUUGGAAGUGUGGACGCCAGUCUGCAUGGAGCCGACCUUGAAAUACCACCCUUUAAUGUUUGAUGUUCUAACGUGGACCCGUGAUCCGGGUUGCGGACAGUGUCUGGUGGGUAGUUUGACUGGGGCGGUCUCCUCCUAAAGAGUAACGGAGGAGCACGAAGGUUGGCUAAUCCUGGUCGGACAUCAGGAGGUUAGUGCAAUGGCAUAAGCCAGCUUGACUGCGAGCGUGACGGCGCGAGCAGGUGCGAAAGCAGGUCAUAGUGAUCCGGUGGUUCUGAAUGGAAGGGCCAUCGCUCAACGGAUAAAAGGUACUCCGGGGAUAACAGGCUGAUACCGCCCAAGAGUUCAUAUCGACGGCGGUGUUUGGCACCUCGAUGUCGGCUCAUCACAUCCUGGGGCUGAAGUAGGUCCCAAGGGUAUGGCUGUUCGCCAUUUAAAGUGGUACGCGAGCUGGGUUUAGAACGUCGUGAGACAGUUCGGUCCCUAUCUGCCGUGGGCGCUGGAGAACUGAGGGGGGCUGCUCCUAGUACGAGAGGACCGGAGUGGACGCAUCACUGGUGUUCGGGUUGUCAUGCCAAUGGCACUGCCCGGUAGCUAAAUGCGGAAGAGAUAAGUGCUGAAAGCAUCUAAGCACGAAACUUGCCCCGAGAUGAGUUCUCCCUGACUCCUUGAGAGUCCUGAAGGAACGUUGAAGACGACGACGUUGAUAGGCCGGGUGUGUAAGCGCAGCGAUGCGUUGAGCUAACCGGUACUAAUGAACCGUGAGGCUUAACCUU
rnacentral:rRNA from 1 species